rnacentral:rRNA from 1 species
AGUGAACGCUGGCGGUAGGCCUAACACAUGCAAGUCGAACGGCAGCACAGUAAGAGCUUGCUCUUACGGGUGGCGAGUGGCGGACGGGUGAGGAAUACAUCGGAAUCUACUUUUUCGUGGGGGAUAAUGUAGGGAAACUUACGCUAAUACCGCAUACGACCUACGGGUGAAAGCAGGGGAUCUUCGGACCUUGCGCGAUUGAAUGAGCCGAUGUCGGAUUAGCUAGUUGGCGGGGUAAAGGCCCACCAAGGCGACGAUCCGUAGCUGGUCUGAGAGGAUGAUCAGCCACACUGGAACUGAGACACGGUCCAGACUCCUACGGGAGGCGGCAGUGGGGAAUAUUGGACAAUGGGCGCAAGCCUGAUCCAGCCAUACCGCGUGGGUGAAGAAGGCCUUCGGGUUGUAAAGCCCUUUUGUUGGGAAGGAAAAGCAGCAGGUUAAUACCCCGCUGUUCUGACGGUACCCAAAGAAUAAGCACCGGCUAACUUCGUG